GCGGGGGUGCCCGAGUCUGGUCUAAGGGGCCGGACUUAAGAUCUCGAAGUAGAUAGGCCAUCCGGUGACCGUAGGGUCUUCGAGGGUUCGAAGCCCUCCCCCCGCA
rnacentral:tRNA from 1 species